GGUGACCGUUAGCUGCUCUUAGCGCGAUGAAUGCCGGCUGCUCUUAGUUGGUGUUACAGGGAAGCAGAGCAGAAAGACGUGAAAAUGUGUGCUCUUAAAUUGUCAAUAGCUUGAAACAAUUGAACAGGAAGUUAAAAGGACAAGUUUCUUCCCUGCACUUUGUUCAUUUCCUUGGAAACUAAGCACAGUUGCCCGGCAGACCACUACAGAUAUUCACAGAAAUGGUUUGUAUGAGGAAGGAAGACCCUCCCAGAAUGUACGAAGAACACUUCCACAUGGGCUUGGAUUCCAGACUAAAUAGAGAAAAACAAUGAGUAGAGCACCAGCAUCCAUCGCCACGGCAGCAGCACUUCACAUUCCUGUCAUCGUGUCUCUCCUGACACGUAUAUCUUCCUAACUCCCUGACCAGAAUGAGUUCCUUCCCUGGCUGAGCUGUUUUUGUCUGGAAAAUGAAAACAGUAAUGAAUAAAACAAAUUUUAUUAUGAUUU